AACCCCCUCUCGCUCAAAGACUCCGUCCACUUAUUCUUAGGCCCAUAAUAGAAAAUGAAAGUUUUGCAGUUUCUGAUACAUGAGCAAAGGAUUUGGCGAAAGGUCUUUAUAUAUUGGUUGAAUAAUAAAAUGAUGAUAAACAUCGUGAUUCCUGUAAAUCGGAGCUCAGAAUUAACUGCACAUGACAGAGACAGAGCAUUUUCAGAGACUGCUAUGUACAUAAUAUGAUUUAUUUGGAAGAAGAAAUCAACUAUGUCUGAUAUGGAAGAAGAAUGGAAAACUAGUAAGGAAGAGGCAUUAGAAUAUGUUUAUAGAUUAUUACAUUUAUGUUUACAUAGGCUCAACAAUUUUGAAAAUAUGCAACAAAGCAAGGCAGAAUCAUAUAAGAUAAAUUAAUUUUUGAGAUUUUAGAUGUUUCAAUUGAAAGAUAUAAUUGUGCAUAGUAAGAAAUACACACAGGUAUGUACAGAAUAAUCAUUAAUAUAAUAUAUACUCAAUGAUCACAAACUAAUUUAGAAACAGAAAUACAUAUUAUUAUAUUAGAUGGUUAAAUUUUAUAAUGCAUUAGCAGGGGGGAUACAUAGCCAUUGGUGUUGUUCGCAUGAAUAUGGCUGUAAUGAUUUAAUGAUAGAAAUACGAAGGAAAUUGAUGAAUCGAAACCAUCUGAAGUUGAUAUUUGAAAUAUAUUUAAAUUUCUUGAAACUUGCAAUUACUAAACCAGUUAUAGUAUUUCCUUUUUUUGGUGAAGUAAUGGAUUUCCUUGCUAGUGAAGUAAAUUUCUUUAUAUUAAUUAUAUUACAAAUAUGCAUUUACAAUUUUAUAUUCAUUAACAGCUCUCACAGCAUUACAUUUUAUGAGAAAUUGUAGAAUUAAUGUUUUGAAAACUGUUGUGCAGAAAUGAUCUUACUGAAGAACAAAAAUCUGUACAUGAAUAUCUUAGUCGUUAUAUUAUAUCUUAGUAAUUAUCUUACAAAUUUGCAAGACUAUACAUUCAAGAUUAUAAUGCUUAGUUAUUAUAAUUAUAACGUUUAUAUUAUGAACCUACUAUUCUGCUAGCAAGGUAGGGGAUACUUUUAACUGUUACAGCAUUACGAUCAGAAGAUAAGAGUGCAAAUGUGCAAAAGCAAGCAUUGCAAUUAUAACAUGCAUUACUUCAAGCCAAUUCUUUCGCUCCCAAGGUAAGUGAAAGUAACAUUUUAUUUAUAGGACAUUCUAUUUUUGUAAUAUAAUAACGUAUUAUACAUAACAUAUCUGUCUUUUGUUAUCAGUAUGUGAUUUGUUACAAUGCAUUUAAUGAAAUAAUUAUUUAUAUAAUAUAAUUUCUAUUUAGAUUGCGGAUUUUAUAUAUGCAUUUAUUCUGCAGUCUAGUAAUAAUCUAUAAACAUAUUCUAAUGCCUCUUCUGAUUUCCCCAUUUAUGUGACCAAUAAACCAGGAAAAUAAAUAUACCAGCAUUUUAAUAAUA